GACGAACGCUGGCGGCGUGCCUAAUACAUGCAAGUAGAACGCUGAAGGAGGAGCUUGCUUCUCUGGAUGAGUUGCGAACGGGUGAGUAACGCGUAGGUAACCUGCCUGGUAGCGGGGGAUAACUAUUGGAAACGAUAGCUAAUACCGCAUAAGAGUAGAUGUUGCAUGACAUUUGCUUAAAAGGUGCAAUUGCAUCACUACCAGAUGGACCUGCGUUGUAUUAGCUAGUUGGUGGGGUAACGGCUCACCAAGGGGACGAUACAUAGCCGACCUGAGAGGGUGAACGGCCAAAAUGGGACUGAGACAAGGCCCAGAAGCCUACGGGAGGCAGCAGUAGGGAAACUUCGGCAAUGGACGGAAGUCUGACCGAGCAACGCCGCGUGAGUGAAGAAGGUUUUCGGAUCGUAAAGCUCUGUUGUAAGAGAAGAACGAGUGUGAGAGUGGAAAGUUCACACUGUGACGGUAUCUUAACAGAAAGGGACGGCUAACUACGUG
rnacentral:rRNA from 1 species